UUGUCUCAAAGAUUAAGCCAUGCAUGUCUCAGUACAAGCCAAAUUAAGGUGAAACCGCGAAAGGCUCAUUAAAUCAGUUAUGGUUCCUUAGAUCGUACCAACAUUUACUUGGAUAACUGUGGUAAUUCUAGAGCUAAUACAUGCAAACAGAGCUCCGACCGGAGACGGAAGGAGCGCUUUUAUUAGAUCAAAACCAAUCGGCGGCGGGGUCCGCUUGCGGGCUCGUCGUCGUUCGCAUUGACGAAUCUGAAUAACUUUCUGCUGAUCGCACGGUCUCGCACCGGCGACGCAUCUUUCAAAUGUCUGCCUUAUCAACUGUCGAUGGUAGGUUCUGUGCCUACCAUGGUUGUAACGGGUAACGGGGAAUCAGGGUUCGAUUCCGGAGAGGGAGCCUGAGAAACGGCUACCACAUCCAAGGAAGGCAGCAGGCGCGCAAAUUACCCACUCCCGGCACGGGGAGGUAGUGACGAAAAAUAACGAUACGGGACUCAUCCGAGGCCCCGUAAUCGGAAUGAGAACAAUUUAAAUCCUUUAACGAGGAUCAAUUGGAGGGCAAGUCUGGUGCCAGCAGCCGCGGUAAUUCCAGCUCCAAUAGCGUAUAUUAAAGUUGUUGCGGUUAAAAAGCUCGUAGUCGAAUCUGUGUCCCGCACCGCCGGUUCGUCGCUCGCGGCGUUUAACUGGCGUGCCGCGGGACGUCCUGCCGGUGGGCUUAGCUCUUUCGCGAGGGCGGCCCAAUUGUAAUCCCGCCGCGGUGCUCUUAACUGAGUGUCGAGGCGGGCCGGCACGUUUACUUUGAACAAAUUAGAGUGCUUAAAGCAGGCUAAACUUCGCCUGAAUACUUCGUGCAUGGAAUAAUGGAAUAGGACCUCGGUUCUAUUUUGUUGGUUUUCGGAACCCCGAGGUAAUGAUUAAUAGGAACGGAUGGGGGCAUUCGUAUUGCGACGUUAGAGGUGAAAUUCUUGGAUCGUCGCAAGACGGACAGAAGCGAAAGCAUUUGCCAAAAACGUUUUCAUUGAUCAAGAACGAAAGUUAGAGGUUCGAAGGCGAUCAGAUACCGCCCUAGUUCUAACCAUAAACGAUGCCAGCUAGCGAUCCGCCCACGUUCCUCCGAUGACUGGGCGGGCAGCUUCCGGGAAACCAAAGCUUUUGGGUUCCGGGGGAAGUAUGGUUGCAAAGCUGAAACUUAAAGGAAUUGACGGAAGGGCACCACCAGGAGUGGAGCCUGCGGCUUAAUUUGACUCAACACGGGAAACCUCACCAGGCCCGGACACCGGAAGGAUUGACAGAUUGAGAGCUCUUUCUUGAUUCGGUGGGUGGUGGUGCAUGGCCGUUCUUAGUUGGUGGAGCGAUUUGUCUGGUUAAUUCCGAUAACGAACGAGACUCUGGCCUGCUAACUAGGCGUAUUUCCGACAUCUCGAAGGCCCGCCGGCUUGGAGCGUUCGCGCCCCUUGUCGUGCGCGGUUUUUACUGUCGGCGUACAAACAAUUCUUCUUAGAGGGACAGGCGGCUUCUAGCCGCACGAGAUAGAGCAAUAACAGGUCUGUGAUGCCCUUAGAUGUUCUGGGCCGCACGCGCGCUACACUGAAGGAAUCAGCGUGUCCUCCCUGGCCGAGCGGCCCGGGUAACCCGCUGAACCUCCUUCGUGCUAGGGAUUGGGGCUUGCAAUUGUUCCCCAUGAACGAGGAAUUCCCAGUAAGCGCGAGUCAUAAGCUCGCGUUGAUUACGUCCCUGCCCUUUGUACACACCGCCCGUCGCUACUACCGAUUGAAUGAUUUAGUGAGGUCUUCGGACCGGCACGCGGUGGCGUUUCGACGUCGCCGAUGCUGCUGGAAAGAUGACCAAACUUGAUCAUUU
rnacentral:rRNA from 1 species